rnacentral:lncRNA from 1 species
AGACAGAUUAUAUAAAAAUAGUAUCUACUGCAAAUGCUUAUGUGAAGACUAAAAGAGAAAAAUCAGGCAAAAUAUUUAGCAUUGUGCUUGACACAAAGCUUUCUACUAUCAUCAUCAUUUUCUUGACAUUAACAGGAACAAGAUAGAGGUACAGCAAUUAAGAUAUUUGAAAGAAAAAUAAUAAAGCAUAGCAGCUCAAGACAGACAAGAGUCAGAAAUCCAACACAGCAGCAGGUCCUACAGCCACAAGUCAUUGAAAGAGAAUUUAGGGAUCAUCUAGUCAAAUAUCUCUGUUUUACAGAUGAGCAACUCCAUGCUAAGAGAUGUCUCAAUGACAAAACUAUUUUUGAAAACAUUUUGGCUUUUUUUUUAUAAAGUUAAACAUGGACUUAGCAUGUUUACAUGGGCAACCUAGUCAUUCCCUUCUUAAGUAUUCACCCAAGAGAAAUAAAAACUUACAUCCACACAAAGAAUUGCAUACAAUGUUCACAGCUGCUUUGUUUGUAACAGCCUAAACUGAAAACCGAGAGAACUUUUGGGGAUGAUGGAAAGAUUUUAUAUCUUUUAUGAAAUGUUUUAUGUCUUAGUUGUGCUGGUGGUUACACAGCAUAUAGAUUUGUCAAAACUCUUUAAAAUUGUACAGUUUAGUUGGGUAUAUUUUAUUGUAUAUAAAUUAUACCACAAUGAAGUCAUUUUUUCUUGAUCAGGUUUAUCAUAUUCAAAUAAGUUGAUUUUAA